rfam:Ovis aries breed Texel chromosome 3, whole genome shotgun sequence.
UCCCUGGUGGUCCAGUGGUUAAGACUCUGUGCUUCUAAUGCAGGGGAUGAGGGUUCAAUCCCUGAUUAGGGAA